AUUUUAAUAGUUUCUGUGUCAGAGAAUGAUCCCACUUGGAUUGAAUUACUGUGAUCUAUACACUAAUCAGUGAAUUGUGGAAAAUCAGCAACCAUGUGGCAAAAUCCUACAAGAAAGAAUGUUUUUGAUUUUGCAACCUUUAAAAAAGGGGGGAAAUGGGGCAGGGCUAGGAGGCUGGACGGUCGCAGACAAUUUGAGCUCCUGACUGAAUUUAACUAAACGCUGUUUUAAAAGGUGGAAAUACCCCACUACUAAACCUCCUUCAGUUGGUACCCUCUUCUGGCAUAGCUGGGGCACCUUUGGAGUAAAUCACAACACCAACAUCUUUGCAAGCCUGAGGCUGUGGCCUAUAACCUGUUGAGGCCUGGUGGUUCCCUGGCCCGGGAAGUGGCCAAUUUCUCUACCCAGUGCUGCCUGGGCUUUCUCUCUUGACACUCUGAGCACUGUACCCCCCUCUCCCUCUGGAUCAGGGUUUAUCCCAGCCCCCACUGGCUCACAACCUGUAUCAUUGCUGUAGCAGCAUCAGAUAAACGCCUGACUCAGCACAUCUCAACAAGAUGGCAACUGAGCUCACUACUGGAACCUCUGAGCCCGCGCAGCCUGCAGUGGAAAUUCAGAGCGUAGUGGAUCAAUUCCUGAAGAGGUUAGACGGCCACUUUGACCGCUUCUGGAAAGACAUGGAGGCAAGUGGGUCGAUAUUAGCACCUCAAAUCCAAGUGGAGAACCAAAGGGAUGCAGACCGAGGGAGGAGGGAGCUCCCUUCGAGCAAUCCUUCCCCUACUCACCUUUAUCCAUCUACCAGCGCGUCCAGGAUGCGGAUAUCUUAGUUAACGAGCCUGACUGAUUAAUUAGCCUUUAUUAUCACUGUCUCAUCUCCACACAUCCAGUUCACAUUUGCCUAAUGUUUCAUGAUGUCUAGUCUAGACGUGCCUGACAACUUGCAUUACAUAUUCACUAAAAAGAGAGGAUUAACCAGUUUUUACCUUAGUUAAUGAGCCUGACUGAUUAAUAAGCCUUUAUUAUCAUAUUGUAUACACAUGUACAGUCUGAUUGACUUGCUUAAAAUACCUUUGGAUGACCAAGUGCAAACGACAUGCCUAACAGCUCUUUAUCUAUGGCUCUCACCUCAAUGCAUCGACUUAAUCUUGUCUUUUUAUUUACAAAAAAUGUGCAGUUUAUUGUUUUGCUUGAUGGAUAAAAAUUAAGCCUAAUUAUAACCUUUACAUGUAUAUUAUCCACGAUGUACACAUGCACAUCAAAAAUAAAGAAUUUUUUUUAAAAGGG